AGCAACCCACCCCAGCAUCCCAUCCCAACAUCCUACCCUAAAAUCCCACCCCAACUCCCCACCCCAACAUCCCAUCCUAAAAUCCCAUCCCAUCCCAGCAUGCCAUCCCAGCAUCCUAACCCGGCAUCCCACCCUCAAAUCCCAUCCCAGCAUCUCACCCCAAAAUCCCGUCCCGGCAUCCCAACUCAACAUCCCAACUCAGCAUCCCACCCCAAAAUCCCAUCCCAGCUCCCCACCCCAGGAUCUCAACCCCACAUCCUACUCUAAAAUCCCACCACAGCGUGCCAUCCCAGCAUCCCAACUCAACAUCCCACCCUCAAAUCUUAUCCCAGCAUCCCAUCCCAGUGUCUCACCCUAAAAUCCCACCCCAGCACCCCAACCCAACAUCCCAACCCAACAUCCCACUCUAAAACCCCAUCCCACCUCCCCACCCCAGCAUCCCACCCUCAAAUCCCACCCUCAAACCCCAUCCCAACUCCCCACCCCGACUCCCCACCCUCAAAUCCCACCCCAUCCCCCUCUGGGACCGCGCUGCCGUGGGUUGGACGCCCACCCCCGUUGUGGCCUGGGGGCUCUCGGGGUCUCCAUUCUCAGGCCGCCGGCCCCAAGGAGGAGGAGGCGGAGGAGGACGGCACCCGGAGGAGCCCACCCCGCAGCCGCAGGGGCGAUGCUAAAGGAGGUGCGGGGGUCACCGGGGGUCCCCACGCCCCGUGCCCCCCCCCGGAUGGGUCUGUACCGACGCGGGCUGCUCCCCCAGGUUUCCUGGCGGCCCGGCUGCGUGGGCGCUGGCAGCGGCUGUGGUGCGCGGCGCGGCAGGGAGCCCUGCGCAUGUUCCCGGAGCCGGGGGGCACCGUGCGUGUCCCCCCCCGCCGUGCCCAGGUCCUGGACGGCCGCGAUGUCCCCCCGGGGGCCGCCUCUGGGUCCCCCCAACGCCUCCGCGUCGUCCGGCGGGGCCGGGAGCUCGCCGUGCCGCAGCGGCCCCGUUCGGAUGAGGGGGGGGAAGCCGGGCCGAAAGCCCCGCGGGCCAGGGGAGGAGGGCGGCCACCGGGGGACGACGCGUGUGCGGAGACCCCCAAGCUGGGGGAUGGCAGCCCCCCAACCGCUGCAGGGUAAGGAGACGGCGGCACGGCCCCCCCGCCCCCCCAACCCCCCUUCCUCCUGCCCCACUGCGGGGCUGCCCCUCAGCGCCUGCCCCCCAACCCUGCUCGCAGGGGGCUGCUCCUGCGCCGCGUGCCGACCCCCAACGCCUACAUGGACGACCCCUUCGGGCAGCCCCCCCGCUCUGCAGCCCCCCAGCACCUCUACUCCAACGCGGAGCGGCUGCAGCGCUUGGUAACCCCAC
rnacentral:lncRNA from 1 species